CACCAGGGUGGCUCAGUCAGCUGAGCAUCUGACCCUUGAUUUCGGCUCAGGUCACAAUCUUACGGUUUGUGGGUUCAAGGCCCACAUUGGGCUCUGUGCUGAUGGUGUGGAGCCUGCUUGGGAUUCUCUCUCUCUCUCUCUCUCUCUGCCCCUCCCACUCUCUCUCUCUCUCCAAAUAAAUAAAUAAACAUUAAAAAAAGAAAAAGAAAAAGCCAAGGGAAAUUUUUCUGACAGCAGAAACAGCUGAAGACAACUUUGCUAUGACUUAGCUUCUGGCUGCCAUCUAAUGGCACAAAUAUAGAUAUGGAUGUGUAUGUGUAUAUACAUACCCCUCACUCCCCCCAACACACACACACACACACACACCAUUUCUACUGCUGUAAGCUUGUGUCUGGGUUUCAAUUCUUCACUUUUGCUGGUUAGGAUGUUAAUACUGGAAGGGAUAUUAGAGAUUAUAUAGUCUAUCCUUUUCAUUCUACUGCAAGGAAAUUGAGCAAAACGUAUAUAUAUCCCUGUUUGAACAUCUCUUUAUCUCAUCUCAUUUUUGAGAGGUAAAAAAAAAAAAUGGAAAUGUUGCUCUAUUUUUAGAAAUGAAAUGGAGGCACUGGGGGAAGUGGCUUUGCCACUUUUAAAAAGCUAGAUUGAAAUGAUCUCUUUCCUUGAAUCCGGGCCCUUUGACAUCCAUCCCAGAACUGAUCCUAGUGUUGUGUUUCCAAGUGUUAACCCUUAAAAUGGAAUUAGAAGCUGUAAAUAUCAUUGAUAUGUGAGUAGGGAAACUGUUCUGAAAUUAUCUCCUUUUUACACAUAAGGCCUAAAUUUUAAUUCUGAUACCACAACUUCCAUUCAGUGGCUGUAAAUUGUGAAUGUUCAAGUCUGAAAUUCAGUAGUAAAAUGUUUAAAGCUGGGUUCAGCAACUAUAUUCUAUUCUGUAUAAGAAAUAAGAUUUUAUUUACAGGGCAUACAUAGCUGGGAACCUUAUAUAUAGAAUUACAGGAAAAAUUUUCAUAAUUCGAUAUAUAUUUUUUCAAACUUUGUAUACUCAUAUCGACAAAUGGCUCUCCUCCUCUUUCUCUAAUGUUCUCUGCCUGUUCUCCUUGACCCUCUGUAGGUUCUAAGCUAAUCUCAAGUUCCCAAGUACGCUCAAUGUUUUUCUACCUUCUAUUUUUCUGAAUGCUCUUUCCUUCUCUUUGAAUGCCCUUUCUUUGAGGCUGAGCUUAAAUUUUAUCAUCUUCAUUAAAAAAAAAAAAACUUUCUAGAGAGAGAGAGUGCAAGCAGGGAAGAGGGCAGAAAGAGAGAGAGACAGAAAGCGAGAGAGAAGGAAUCUGAUUUGGGGCUUGAUCCCACGACCCUAAGAUCAUGACCUGAGCCAAAGUCAAGAGUCUGAUGCUUAACUGACUGAGCCACCCAGGUGCCCCUUAUCAUCUUCAUUUCUAAUGAAAUCUUUCUUAAUAGCCUGUGACAAGAAAUCUUGUUUCCUUGGUUUGCCAUCAAGUACCAGAAGACAAGAAGCUUCAACUGGAAUUCAUUGUCUUCCAGAUCUGGAGGCUACAAACCCAAGAUCAAGCUGUCAGCAGGGUUGAUUCUUUCUGAGGGCUGUGAGGAAGAAUCUGUUCCAUGCCUUUCUCCUGGCCCUGAUGGCAUCCUGGCAAGCUUUGGUGUUUCUUGGGAAGUAGAAGCAUCAUCCCCAAUCUCUGUCUUUAUCUUCUCAUGGCCUUCUUCUUCCAUGCAUGUCUGUCUUCAAAUUUCCCCCUUUCUAAGGAUACUAGUCAUAUUGGAUAGAGUCCAGCUUACUCCAGUAGGACCUCGCCUUAACUAAUUACAUCUGCAAAGACCCUAUUUCUAAAUAAGGUGACACUCUUCGGUAUUAGGGUGUAGAAUUUCAACAUAUCAAUCUUGUUGGGGAUGGAGUUGGGGAGGAACCACAAUUCCAUCCGUAAAAUUUCUUCUUUUGAAUUUUUUUCACUGCCUGGUUUGUAUUUUGUUCAUGGAAUGUAUCGCAUUCUUUGUGGUUAUCUGUCUUGCCUCUCCUUCUAAAUUAUAAGGUCUUUGAAGGCUGGUUUAUUCUUUAUAUAACCUGUAGCGUCAAGCACGGAGGAUGCGGUGUUGCGUAGUUUUCACUCUAGCUACCUCUGGCACCCAGAGGUACCUCCAAGUGGCAAGAGGCAGAAUUUUAUUAAAAUGGAGGGAAAUCCAGACUUUUCUAGGUAAUUGCAUGUGGUUAAGUUUGUGUACAUUGUAGGAAUCAGGACAAAGUGAUUGGGAUUUGAAAGUCAGGCUGAGAACCACGUCUGUGUUAGUCCGUCUCCUGGAGUCAGCUAGGAGUGAGGAAUGGAUGGGAGUGGGGUGGGGAGUGAGAGAGAGCGAGAGACAGAGAGAGAGAGAGAGAGAGAGUGAGAAUGAAUGAAUGAAUGAAUGAAUGAGGAUGAACAAAUACAGCUAUCAGAAAGCCAGGGAAAAUUCUGAGUUAAUGACCGAAUAUGUGGCAUGAUGUCAGAACAUGAGAAAGAUGCCACAAAAGAUGUGAAUACAAGGGUUAGGAUUACAAGAACAUUCCAAAAGCUAACGCCAGUGUUCAGAGGACAGAGAUCCUGCAGGAGCUCAAGGGAGGAAGUAAGUAGAAGAGCAAGCACGAGGGUCCAGGAUAUAUGGCAAAGGCGCAAAAUACCUGUGCAAGGGUCUGGGCAACACAAAUACAGGUGUCCAAAGCAAGAAACUAAUUUGAUGAUGGACCAGGCUGUUGCCUUUUCCCAGGGAGCUCGCAUCACUGUGAAGGCCAGGAAUAGAUGCAUGAAUCCAGCCAAUCGAGGCCCCGGUUGGAGAGAGAAGGGGGCAGUUGUCUGGAGCAGGGGGUUAUGGACUCACACAGCCCCUGACAACCACUACAGACAGCCUCAGUGCCCAAGUGCGUGUCUCACAGGAGGCCAACCUUCAUUUGUGGUUCGUGGUCAACAAUACUGGACUAGUCAAUACUGAACAAUAGCCAAAAUACUGAACUAGACAACUAGAAAAAAAAAAGAACAAGUCAUUGUUCCUUCUCCCAAGAUCCUUACGGAUUUGUGGGGAAAUAAAACACAUUCGAGAAAAAGUCGACUACCAUCCGGGGCCUGCCUUUAGUUAGGAGCUGGGAGCCUGGAGGAGUGGAGAACAGGACAAGCAGGAAAGCAGCACACACACCUGGAAUGCCAGAACGUGACUUUAUCGCGUGGACCAGCGUUUCUAAAAAUGUGUUCCUCUGAGAUGUUCCAUGAAAACAAGAUUCCAAGAGCAAAUUUGUUUGGGAAACACUAGAUUCUGUGUACUCCUCUUGGGAAUUUACAGGGCAUGUGAACACAUUAGAGGCAUUAAAGUUCUUUAAAAAGCAA